rnacentral:rRNA from 1 species
UACGUAGGGGGCUAGCGUUGUCCGGAAUCAUUGGGCGUAAAGCGCGUGUAGGCGGUCCGGUAAGUCCGCUGUGAAAGUCGGGGGGCUCAACCCUCGGAUGCCGGUGGAUACUGUCGGGCUUGAGUACGGAAGAGGAGAGUGGAAUUCCUGGUGUAGCGGUGAAAUGCGCAGAUAUCAGGAAGAACACCCGUGGCGAAGGCGGCUCUCUGGGACGGUACUGACGCUGAGACGCGAAAGCGUGGGGAGCGAACAGG